rnacentral:rRNA from 1 species
GAUGAACGCUGGCGGCGUGCCUAAUACAUGCAAGUCGAGCGAACGGACGAGAAGCUUGCUUUUCUGAUGUUAGCGGCGGACGGGUGAGUAACACGUGGAUAACCUACCUAUAAGACUGGGAUAACUUCGGGAAACCGGAGCUAAUACCGGAUAAUAUUUUGAACCGCAUGGUUCAAAAGUGAAAGACGGUCUUGCUGUCACUUAUAGAUGGAUCCGCGCUGCAUUAGCCAGUUGGUACGGUAACGGCUUACCAAGGCAACGAUGCAUAGCCGACCUGAGAGGGUGAUCGGCCACACUGGAACUGAGACACGGUCCAGACUCCUACGGGAGGCAGCAGUAGGGAAUCUUCCGCAAUGGGCGAAAGCCUGACGGAGCAACGCCGCGUGAGUGAUGAAGGUCUUCGGAUCGUAAAACUCUGUUAUUAGGGAAGAACAUAUGUGUAAGUAACUGUGCACAUCUUGACGGUACCUAAUCUGAAAGCCACGGCUAACUACGUG